rnacentral:ncRNA from 4 species
AGCAGCCGCGGUAAUUCCAGCUCCAAUAGCGUAUAUUAAAGUUGUUGCAGUUAAAAAGCUCGUAGUUGAAUUUUGGAUUCUUCCAAUUGGUCCAUCUUUUAGAUGAGUACUGGUUGUGUGGGGUCUAUCCGCCUGGUGAUACGUAAUGUCCUUUAUUGGAUGUUGCGGGUAGUCAGGACCUUUACCUUGAAAAAAUUAGAGUGUUUAAAGCAGGCUUAUGCCGGAAUACAUUAGCAUGGAAUAAUAGAAUAGGACGAAGUUGUUUUAUUUUGUUGGUUUCUAGGACAACCGUAAUGAUUAAUAGGGAUAGUUGGGGGCAUUAGUAUUCAAUUGUCAGAGGUGAAAUUCUUGGAUUUAUUGAAGACUAACUACUGCGAAAGCAUUUGCCAAGGAUGUUUUCAUUAAUCAAGAACGAAAGUUAGGGGAUCGAAGACGAUCAGAUACCGUCGUAGUCUUAACCAUAAACUAUGCCGACUAGGGAUCGGGCGAUGUUGUUUCCAUGACUCGCUCGGCACCUUAU